GGCUAAAACAGUCAGGAUGUUGGCUUAGAAGCAGCCAUCAUUUAAAGAAAGCGUAAUAGCUCACUGAUCGAGUCGUCCUGCGCGGAAGAUGUAACGGGGCUAAGCCAGUCACCGAAGCUGCGGAUAUCCUUUAUUGGAUAUGGUAGGAGAGCGUUCUGUAAGCCUGCGAAGGUGUCUUGUAAAGGAUGCUGGAGGUAUCAGAAGUGCGAAUGCUGACAUGAGUAGCGAUAAUGGGGGUGAAAAGCCUCCACGCCGUAAGCCCAAGGUUUCCUGUUCAACGUUCAUCGGAGCAGGGUGAGUCGGCCCCUAAGGCGAGGCAGAGAUGCGUAGCUGAUGGGAAGCAGGUUAAUAUUCCUGCACCGUCGUAUGAUGCGAUGGGGGGACGGAUCGCGGAAGGUUGUCCAACUGUUGGAAUAGUUGGUUUUUGGCUCAUAGAAGGCACUUAGGCAAAUCCGGGUGCGCAAUUCAAGGGGUUGAGACGAGUGAACUUGUUCACGAAGCAAUCGGAAGUGGUUCCAAGAAAAGCCUCUAAGCUUCAGUCAUACGAGACCGUACCGCAAACCGACACAGGUGGGCGAGAUGAGUAUUCUAAGGCGCUUGAGAGAACUCGGGAGAAGGAA
rnacentral:rRNA from 1 species